AUUGAACGCUGGCGGCAGGCCUAACCCAUGUAAGUCGAACGAGUGGCGGACGGGUGAGUAAUGUCUGGGAAACUGCCAGAUUGAGGGGGGUAACUACUGGAAACGGUAGCUAAUAUCGCAUACCAUCAGAUGUGCCCAGAUGGGAUUAGCUUGUUGGUGGGGUAACGGCUUACCUAGGUGACGAUCCCUAUCUGGUCUGAGAGGCUGACCAACGACACUGAGAUUGAGGCACGGGCCAGACUCGUCAGGGAGGCAGCUGUGGAGAAUAUUGCACAAUGGGCGCAGGCCUGAUACGGCCAUGCCGCGUGUAUGAAGAAGGCCUUCGGGUUGUAUAGUGCUUUCAGCGGGGAGGCAUUGCCCGUAGAAGAAGCACCGGCUAACUCCGUGCCAGCAGCCGCGGUAAUAC
rnacentral:rRNA from 1 species